CCUACGGGUGGCAGCAGUGGGGAAUAUUGGACAAUGGGGGGAACCCUGAUCCAGCGACGCCGCGUGAGUGAAGAAGUAUUUCGGUAUGUAAAGCUCCAUCAGCAGGGAAGAAAAUGACGGUACCUGACUAAGAAGCACCGGCUAACUACGUGCCAGCAGCCGCGGUAACACGUAGGGGGCAAGCGUUAUCCGGAUUAAUUGGGUUUAAAGGGUGCGUAGGGGGUCUGUUAGGUCAGCGGUCAAAGGUCGGGGCUCAACCCCGGCCUGCCGUUGAAACUGGCGGCCUCGAGUGGGAGAGAAGUAUGCGGAAUGCGUGGUGUAGCGGUGAAAUGCAUAGAUAUCACGCAGAACUCCGAUUGCGAAGGCAGCAUACCGGCGCCCUACUGACGCUGAGGCACGAAAGCGUGGGUAUCGAACAGGAUUAGAUACCCGGGUAGUC
rnacentral:rRNA from 1 species